rnacentral:tRNA from 1 species
AGCGGAAAAAGGGACUUGACCCUCA